UACGUAGGGGGCAAGCGUUGUCCGGAAUCAUUGGGCGUAAAGAGCGUGUAGGCGGCCAGAAAAGUCCGCUGUGAAAACUCGAGGCUCAACUUCGAGCUGUCGGUGGAAACUUUCUGGCUAGAGUCCGGAAGAGGAGAAUGGAAUUCCUGGUGUAGCGGUGAAAUGCGCAGAUAUCAGGAGGAACACCGAUGGCGAAGGCAGCUCGCUGGGACGGUACUGACGCUGAGGCGCGAAAGCGUGGGGGAGCAAACAGG
rnacentral:rRNA from 1 species